rnacentral:rRNA from 1 species
AAAGGUAAGCUACUAAGAGCGAAUGGUGGAUGCCUUGACUGGUAAAGGCGAUGAAGGACGUACUAGACUGCGAUAAGCUACGGGGAGCUGUCAAGAAGCUUUGAUCCGUAGAUUUCCGAAUGGGGCAACCCAAUGUAUAGAGAUAUACAUUACCUAUAUAGGAGCGAACGAGGGGAAUUGAAACAUCUUAGUACCCUCAGGAAAAGAAAUCAAUAGAGAU